CAGGAUCUGAGGAAGUGACCGUUUUUGGGAGAAAUCUUGAAUGUAAACUCUACCCCCUCCCAACCAGUUUUCCCCUCAGCUCCUCCUCUCCCCUCCCUCUCUGCUCCAUCAAGCCCCGCCCACAAACAGACGCAGACACAGAGGCCCAGUCAAGGUAAAAGUCAAAAGCAUUGGUGCUACUGUAGAUGCCAACAGACUACCAGCAAACACAAUGUUUGCAGGACUUCUACAACUAGGAUAAAGUGACAUAGUCCAGGACCCGAGGGAGGACAGUUUAGCGAUGGCGCUACAACACGCUACAGCAGGUCCGUUUGACAAGAAACACUUCUGUUACAGACACUUGUCUUACUUUGUUAAAGCGGUUUACCUGUCCAGCAGAAAGGUUACAGGGUCCCCAAGAUCCCCAAGCGUCCCCCAUCCUUUUAUGUUGACCCGGCUUUUUAGCUCUUGUCCGGUCUACCUCUGUUUUAAGCGCCCGUUAUUCCUCCAGAGUCUCCGGUAUUUACUUUGUUUUCUCGCUUGUGUCGGCAGUCGUGGCUAAAGGAGGAUUCAGACAAUUUUCCGAACUUUCUGGUUGGUUUCUACUGUCCGAUAUUGUAGCAAGCUAACUUUGUUUGGGCUCCUGAACGACAUGGGGGAGCAGCGUCUGCCUCACAACCAAAUGUCAUCAAUAACUAAUAACUAUUGACUGAUAUUAAAAGCUUUUUUGUAUAUACACCACAAAAAAAGAUGCGUCUUUAACGGAUUCCUGCCUACGCCACCUUUAUGUUCAGCCUGUUGGGUCAGCCACAUGUCGGACGCCCCUUCCCCAACCCUCAAACUCAAGUAUCAACCUAACACACCUGGUCCGGACAACACCACUCCUCUGCUGCUGGGUUAGCGGGUUAGGAUGGUCAAGGAUGAGCUAAACUAUUUUCUCUCAGUUUUAGAUCCUACAGAAGAGGUUUCAAAGUGUGUCCAGUUCUUUUGAUUUCAAAAUCGAUCCAUCUUGAGUCGGCCUCAAGGACAAACUAACACAAGAAGCCUCUAAAAGCUUGAUAGAGUUUGAAUUUCAUUUCAUUUUUUUGAAUUCAGACUCUUUCUUCCUUCUUCUCAUUGCUAAACUGGAAGCUAUGCAGCCUGUUUGAUCUAUUUUGUGAGUUUCAAACAUUUACUGAAGGAUUUCAGAUUCAAGUUUUGACGGAAGUUAAAAAAGGAACAAUCUGUCAGCUCAACAAUUAUCACUUACACUGGGAUUGUGGGAAAAAAAACCUGUGGAUGUGUUAGAAUAAUACCUGAAUCUCUUUUAUUUCACUUGAUUUUUGUAGAAAUAUAAAAAACACAAUUCACUGAUGCUUUUCUCUUUGAGUAAAUACCCCAUAUUUCAUCAAUAAUUCAUUUUGAGCAGCUGCGAUUGAUAAAUGAUCAAACUUAUGUCUAAACUUUUGCAGACAGACUUUUUUUGGAGCUGCUGAGAUAUUCAUCAGCUGAUACAAGGAUUUAACAAUCAGGUAGACACCUUUCCUUUCUGUAUACACUCCCCUCUCCCCGAGACGCUGAGAACCGUCAUCACCUGGCCGGCUCUUAAACUUCAUCUCCUUUUGUGACCCCGUUAAGAAGCUUUUUGCGUCUUCUCACCUGUCUGAGGUGAGAGACACCUUGCUGUCGGCCCGGCAUGCUCUGAAUCAAGAGUGCGCGUAAACAAGUUCUGCCUUUAAUGGAGAACAAACUUAAUGGGCCACUGCACCUUAUUUCUCACAGAGCAGGAAACAGCACAAACAGCAUCCAGUCUCCUCUAUCAGAGAACCACAUCAGGAUCACAAGGUUAACUCAGGGAGCAGGGAGCUCCAUCACCUUGGCGAUCUGGGUCCAGACUCAAUUAUUAGCAAUCAAGCAGCCGGCUGGAGUGUCCUUCAGUAACACACUGCACCCUGUAUUUCUUUGUGGAGGAGCCGCCCCCUCAGAGACCGCUGAUACAUAUCCCAGAAGUGUUAUUAUAAUCAAAUAACUCAAGUCGCAGAGAAAUGAAUGCUAAUGUCACCUGGAUUCCUCUGUUAAGUCUGGUGAUUGGUGACAGGGAAAAGAAGCGUUUUUAAUGGUUAUUUUUGAUUUAUCUUGAUUUGAUAAGGAGAACAGGUAAGAAAUGUUGGCAGCAGAGAGUGGAGGAUGACCCCAAAAGACAUAUUUUUUAUCAGGACUUAAGAGAAUACAAAAUGUGACAGUAUCAAGAUUUUAGUUUUGGGAGUGCCUUUGUAGUUCAAAUUGUAUUUAGCGACUUUUAUAUCAGUAGAAAAGGAAAAAUGGGGAGUAUAGAGAGCAAAAGCAGGCAGAACGCCAUACACCGGCAGUGCUUUAAAGGGAUAUUCCAGCGUAAAAUUAGGUAACGGUCAAACACACUGUAACACCGCGUUAGACACCUCUUCGAGAGAUGAAUGUUGCCGACCGCUUGCUUCUCUAGUUAUACCAACUUUAGUAACGACCGCAGGAUAGCAAUACACAGCAGUCUGAGAAGCCAUAAACAAACCUCAACCAAAACGCCACUCUAUCGCCACAAAUAAUGCUCAGAACAGCACCUAACUUCGACAACAGGACUUAUAGGGUCACAGCCAUAGUACUAGACACCAAACAUUUUAUUAACAUGGACUAAUUUCUUUAGCAAAGAGACUAAACACAACUCACCUACUCUCUUCCACUACACUGGGUGGUAAUUAGCCCCAAUCAGCUCCUCAUUAAAGCAGACGAAGUUUAGAGUUUAAAGUCCUCAGUCGGUGACAGGGGAUACCUUCUGAGAAUGUGUGGAUUUAUGACCUUAUUGUGCAUUUCAGAUAUAAUCUGAAUUAAAUAUAACCUCCAUAGUAAAAGAAGUUUUGUGUUAAAGAGUACAGAUUAAUAAAAUAUAACAGGUACAAACAGGUUGAAAGUGACUCUCGAAUCUCCUCAAGGUCUGACUGGCUGAGAGCGGCGCCGUCUGCAUCCAGGUCUAAUAUGACACUGAACGCUGUUAUUUACUGCUCUGUGGAGAGUUCAUUUCACCGAGUCGCCCUGCACAGAGAUAUUUAUGAGGCCAGAUAAAAAAGUGUGUGUCAGUGUCACUCUGUGCCACACUCUGGUCCUCAUGUAUCUCCAGUGUCAUAACCCAAACACUGAUCAGGAUCAGUUCAAACAGCUCAUAUGCUUUGGAGAGCACCGACUCCUAUCUCCUAUCUCUCUAUAUGAGUUUGUACCCGAGGACGGCUUUGUCAUUCAGUCAGUCAGCAGGUCAGUCGGUUCAUCCCUUUGAGAUUGAAAUAUCUCUCUUAUUACUAAGUGGCAACUUCCAGUCAAAUGAACAAUAAAGCAGAAUAAGUGGAAGUGCUAAAACUGCAGUUCCUUAAUUGUCCACUUGAGGCUGUCUGUAAAAGCCUGAGAAACAACAUACACACCCAUUCAAACAUCUGCUUGCGACUAAUCAGAAUCAAGUAUUCAACACAGCUGGGUGAUUAGGAAGACAGUCAGAAAACAGGAAAAUAUCACGACUAUCACAAGAGAUUAUUACUGUUGAAAAUUUUAAGGUUGCUAGCUUUGGGAUGAUAGCUAAUUUGAUUGACAGGUGGGCUAAUUGUCAUGAGUAGGCCUGUCGCGAUAAUCAAUAAAUCGCCUUAUCGCUCGAUAAAUAAAAACGAGGUCGAUAACUUUGCCAGCCUCGAUAAUUGACGUGCGUUUGUUUUCCUCCUCUCUCGCUACCAAACACGCUGGAUGAGAGAAGAGGUCUCACUCUGCGCAUUGUUCUCGGCACCUGGGGGCGUUGGCUCUAUAGCGGAAUGAACGGAGUUAGUGAACCCUCCUGUCAGUCAUUCAGUGUCUUUGUCACGAGGGGGCUGGCUUGCACAGGCACACAGACACAGACUUUUUGGAUACAGUGCUGCAAGUGAGCGUCGUGAGUGAAAAGCAAGCAAACAGAAUGAACACGACAGCUUUGGUGUCUAAACCGAACGCAACAGCCCAAGUGUGGGAAUAUUUCGGCUUUAAACCAGUUUUGUUUUCGUCAACCACAAAACUCCACGUGUGUGUGUGCGCGCGCGUGCAUGUGUGUAUGUGUGUUGGAGGAGCACAGCAGGCUGAUGAGAGCUGUCAGAGCGGACUGAAGCUGCUCCUGUAUGUUUAGCGUUUAACUGACUGAGUUUUGCAACUCUGUUCGUCAUUUUCGUCUCGUCCCAUCAACGUUAACGCACUUUCGUCUCGUCACAUUUUAGUCAUCUCCGACAUAUGUUUAGCUCGUCAAUGUUACGUCUUCGUCGUGGGAGAAAAGGGAAAUAUUUUAGUCAACGAAAACAACCAGUGUUGUUCUCGUGUGGAAAUUAAAGUUUAUCACUUUUGACAUGGUGUACUCGCAUUAUUAUGCCAUAUAAUAUCAUUAUCUAUAAUUUAAAAAACGGUGUCAAUAAUAUCGUUUAUCGGCGAUAAUUUGUAGCACAAUUAUCGUCCAGCAAAAUUUGUUAUCGUGACAGGCCUAGUCAUUAGCGAGACGGCUGAAGGAACGCCUGAACUUCAACUUUUGGUUUCUUGCUAAGUUGACCAAAAGUCACAGUAGGUCAAAAGAGACUAAUCCUGCGUUCCAGUAGUACUCAGAAGUCGGGAUUUCGGGACUCGAAAAGUCGGACGAUCCUCACCAACCCCGACUUGACGACAACUUCACAAUCCAAGAUGGCAGUGCAUCGCCAGUAAAAAGUAACAGUAAAAGCUCUCAUAAUGUUUUAUUUAUCAGCACUUCUGUUUGUUUUUGUGAAAUUAAAUUAGUGGCAUAUGUUGUGCGUUGUUUACGACUAGUAUAGCUAACAACAACUGACAACAGCUAACGACAGCAAACUAUACGUGUCCAUCUUGGUUUUCCGACUUGUUAACUGGAACGCCGUCAACUCAGGUGUAACGUCAUUCCCAGCACCGACAUAUGACUUCAGUCCAUGUUUUGAACAGUCUAUGCCUAGUUCAUAAAUUACUGUGGAUUUACAGCUGGAGUAUUUGUCAUGUUACUACAGACCACCCAAAGCAGACCACCCACUUCCAAUGCUUUGUAGUCCUAGGCGACACUCUUGACACCUUGACCAGUCUGAGCCCAUAUGCACCUUUAAACUUUUAAGUUUGAGCUCUUCUGUUGGUUCAGACCACACAGGCCAGUCCACAGUCCCUAUGUGCACCCAUGUCCUUGUGUCCAGGUCACGGGUUUUCCUGCUUUCAACCACUGCAGAACAGAAAUACCCCACAAAAGCUGCAGUUUUCGGAAAUGCUCUGACCCCCUCUAACUGCUAUAUUUUAGCCCUUGUAAAAGCUGCUCACAUCUUUACCCCAGCCCAUUUUACCAGCUUCUAACACAUCAACUUCAAGGACCAAAACGUGCUCUUACUGCCUCAAAUAUCCCACCGACAGGUGCAAUUGUAGCAAAGAAAUCAAUGUUAUUCACUUCAGUGGUCAUAAUGUUAUGGCCGACCCAAGUAAAGUUCCCUCUUUUGUUUCAAAUAUCUGAACCUCUGAGUAAUUGAUUUUGAUUUUUUACCACCAUGGGGUCAUGUGGGUGAAAUUCCUUGAUAAACUAUUUGAUGAAUCAUUUCCAAAUUUGAUAUAAACUUAUCAAACCAGUUCAGUAGAUAUGAGAUUGAACUGUGGUGGUAGAGGGGGGUGAGAAACAGGCGGCAUGGAGAGCGUGGCUUAUUAGGAGUGAGUGAUGAAGGGAUUUGAAAGCAAUUUGACAAAAAUGAUGCAACUAUGUUUGGAUAUUGAAAGGAAAACAGCUGAGUUUGCUCACACCAUACGGCCAAUAUAAAUAGCAGGGUGGCAGUCAUUUCUAAAUCUAAUAAGUUCAGGUUGAAUCAUUCCUGCUUCAGUGCUAAGCAACAACAUUAAACAUCAUGAGAGGCAGUCAGCAGGAACAGCAACCAAAGAGUUCAGGAGGUGAGUGAUCUAAACUGCUUUGAUUUACAGGAAAAUACUGUUGAAUUUAGCUCAAAAAAAGGAUGGUUUGCUGUAACGACUCAAAGUAAAAUCCACUUGCUCCGUGAGUCCGGUAGCUCUUUGUGAUUUUGCAACAUCUAGGGGAUUUUCUGUCGAAGGUAGCGAAGGUAAUCUGUGCUGAUUUACUGUUGUUAAAUAGAUCUACUGUUGUCAACUGACUGUGUUAGCUAAAGGCUGAAGUGAGGAUAAUGAAACUCUUGGUAAAAUGUGUGUUAUUGACACUAAAUAAACUUGUAUGGGCCUACUUCUCACAACAGAAAUCCACAAAAAAUUGGAUCAACAAGUAAAAUUGAUGAUGGCUUUAGAAUAAUUCAAUGGUUUAAAUUCCAUCCCCUAUCACGGUCUAAAUUCACUUUAAAACUGUUAAUUUACUAUACACCCUUGGACCUUUCGUAGGCAACAAAAAUAACAAUUACACGGACAUCUCCCAUAAAUGAAUCAUCGAUCAAUUAUUUUCACUUUAAGCUUUUGAAUAUUGUUUAAAAAGUGAUCACAAAUACUUGUGUUUUAGCUUAAUAAAAGUAUCAAAGCAGAUUAAAGUGCAUCUAAAUUACAUCUAAUCUGUUUAAAAGAAACCAAGCAUCACCUGUUAACUUGCUUCACCUUCUUUAUUUUUCAGUUUUUUGCUUUAAAUGCUCAGGGAGCUGUAGAGUAAAAGAGACAUCAAACAAACUGAAGAAAACAGAAACAAAACAACCACAUACUGCCUCAAAUAUAGGGCUUUAGUUGUGUUUUAGGACUUAUUACAGGAAAAAUAAUGCUGUUAUCGUCUGCAUCUAUUCAGAAUAACUAAAAAAGCGGCGAAUGCUUUAAGAUCUGAGUUUACACAACAGAUAAUCUGAAUGAGACGAUCAGCUGCUGAUUUCAUAAUCGAUCUUAUAUUACGCUGUAGGGAAAAUUGUUUUUAUUCAAAGACCACCACAUGCCUCACUUUAAAAUGGACUAUUGUGUGACUUGUUUAGAAACCUGAUUCCUGUCUUAAGUGCUCGCCCUUCACGUUAGAAAAUCGCUCUCAUGUGAAGUCGAAUGAAUUGAAGUUCAUGAUUCCUGUUGUUCUGCAGCCAUUUAGUCUCAUUGUCCAAGCAAAAUUAUUCCUCUCUCCAGGAGACCACUUAAAGAACACGUUUCCACCUGUGCUCAUUCACAAUCAGCCCUUAAUAUGAGCCCCCUGAGGUUUUAUUGCUUCCUGUGGUCUUUACCUCUUACUCUAAUGGGAACUUAAACUAACAGAAGAAUUCCCUCCUGAUUUAAAAACACACUUUCUCAUAUUUCUCAUGUCUUAAACUGGAAUAAGUUUGUCAAAAUCAAUAACAUUUGGUGUGUUUUACCUCUGCCUGUUGACACUAUGGCAAAAAAAAAGGGUAUCUGCAUGAGAUUCGGCAGAUAACGCACAAAAACUAUCAUGGCGGGCUUACUUUCUCAUCUAAAUUAUUCCAGAUGAGAGAGAUAUUUUAACACCAGCAACAACAGCCUGAUUACUUUUUAAUCCCCAAAGAACAGUGUGACACAAAACUUGAUUCAUUUCAUUUUAUAGCUCUGCAAAGUUUUGCCAGAGUAUGAUCCUCAAAUGUUAGUCACACACAAGGCAACGAGUCCAAAUUAAGAUGCAAGCUCGGUUAGGAUGCUGCAGUUUGUGUUUUUGACCCAGAGGAGGAAAUGUGACUGAUGAUGCCCCUCGGUUGGAGCUUUUUCUGGUCUCAUCAGCUCUUUCCAUAGUCAUGAAUCUGAUGAGGGGACCGGAAUAACAGCUCGGGGACCACGCUGUGUCGGGGUUACGAAAAGCUGCAAGAAAGGGAAACUUUGUGGCAACUUGGCAGGAAUCGUAGACAAUGUCCAAGCAACAAUUAAGUCUCCUGAGAAGGGAGCAGGAGGAUGUGCUUAUUCAGGGAGUCUCUGCUGCCAAAUCCGGUACAGUACACAACAUGAGAUCCGUGGCAGACUGCUCGGUUUCUAUGCCGCACACAGAAUUAGCACACAUCCAUCUGUGCAUCCUCCUCAAGCUUGGACACAGGGUUCUGCCUUUGGGUAAUAAUUGCGGGUUUUCACCUCCAAGUGCCAGCGGAUGCAGCCUAGAGGUGUAUCUCUGUCAAAUUUAGUGAUAUUGGUGUUGGUUCAGCGGUACAGUGGGACACAGACAGAGACAAUGCCAGCAAAUGAGGGAUGAAGGUUUGUCUGGGAGCCUCUGUGUGUGUGUGCGCCAAACAGUGGUGUGUGUGUGUGUGUGUGUGUGGGUGGACGGAUGGAUGGAUGGGCGGCUUUCACCCAGUUGGGGAGGAAGACUUAUUGCUGUGAUCUGGAGACAGUCUCCAACACUGAAAAGACUGUUUCACAAACAGACUCGAGUGUUACAUUUCCAAAAUAUGUGAUUAAUAAUUAAGCCGUAACACGUCAGUUAAUACGCCCGUUGUGGACUAAUUACGAAAACUGAUUUUCAUUGAGAAAACAAGCAGGAAACCACAAGCUGUGAGCCUCAAGAAGCAAAAUGAUUUGACUCCUCAAUCAAAGGCCUCGAAUCAACAGACUCACGCUGACAGCCAUGGAAAUGAGUUGGAGUCAAUCUACAUAUAAGAUCUUUACAACAAAUCACAAUCAGACCCAAAAUUUAAUUACACACCCAUUUCAUGUUCUUCAGCCUGAAUACCAGCUCCACCCAAAAGGAAAUGAGUACGAGGAUAAAUCGGCAUAUCUGUUUUUAAUGCUUCUCAUGUGGCAGAGGCUGAAGAAUUACCGCCUCUUCAAAGAGGAGAUACAUCAAACAUUUUUUAAUGUUAUUCGUUUGUUUAACUGUUUUCAUCGACUUUUAAAACUUUGCAACCUAGUAUUAAAACCAUGGUGUCCUUUCAAAAUAAAAGCACGUUUGUCUUCUAAUUGGGCAAUAAGGCGCCUCAAGACAUAAUGAAUGUGCAACACACAACAAUAAAGUGUGACACUCUCAUCCAUAUGUAUCAUAUUACAUCGCACUGUAUCAUAUUAUGUCAUAUCAUAUCCUGUUGUAUCCUAUUGUAUCAUAUCAUACUGUAUUAAAUCAUUUUAUAUCAAAUGGUAUUACAUCAUAUUGUAUCAUAUUGUUUUGUAUCAUAUUGCAUAGUAUUGUAUCAUAUGUUAUAGUAUCAUAUCACAUCAUGUUUACUGUAUUGUAUCAUACUGAAUCAUACUGAACUGUAUCAAAAUAUAUUUUAUCUUAUAGUAUUGUAUCAUAAAUUAUCAGAUUUUAUCAUAUCUUUUGAUAUUAUAUCAGAUCAUAUGGUGUUGUUUCAUAUCAUAUUGUAUUAUAUCAUAUCAUAUCUUAUUAUACAGUAUCAUAUCAUAUGGUAUUGUAUCAUAGCCUAUCAUAUUGUAUCUUAUCAUAUAGUAUCAAAUCAUGUUAUAUCAAAAGGUACAUAAUAUUUUAUUAUAUUGUUUUGUACCGUAUAUUGUAUCAUAAUUUAUUGUAUUGUAUUGUAUUGCACGAUAUUGUUUUAUAUCAAAUGGCAUCAUUUUUUGGCAUCACAUUUCAUCAUAUUGUAUCAUAUUGUGUCAAAUGAUAUGGCAUCCUAUUACAAUGCAUCAAACUGUACGUUAUCAAAUUGUAUCAAAUUGUAUCAAAUCAUAUCGUAUCGUGAUGCUAUUAAGUUAAAUUUCCACAAAACAAUACACUGUUAUUUUUAAAGAAUUACUAUUUCCUAUGACAGAUGACCCCAAAAACAUUUAAAGUUUUCUUUUGUUUUUGAAGUUUAAUAAUAUGCUGGUCGUUGGCUGUUUACUGGUAUUGACAAAAGCUAUUGGUAUAUAAAAAAAGAAAUAUUGAUAAUGCACUAAAGCCAUGUUACAGUAGGGGGCGUAGUCAUGGUUGCUUUCACUGGUUUCCGUUAAAAACAACAAAGGCUAGUGUCUCUUUUUGGAGUUAGCAAGUCGGGGGCUUAUAAAUUGAAUGUUUACACUGUUCUUAUUUAGCUCCAUAACAGAGGAUCUAUAGGAGGAACAUAAUUUCAAAAUAAAAGCACGCCAAAGGACAGUCAAAAUGUCAAAUUAAAAGCCCCAAAGAUAAUAGUUUCAUAAGGCGACAUUUGCUGUCAUAGUAAGGAUACUAUUCAGGGUACUAUUAUUAUUUUUACUAUAUGCCCUUAGUUCAUGUGAUAUUCAGGCAUUUUGACUUCACUUUUUUUCAUCUUUAGAGUUAUUCCUAGCUGCCUAGCUGCUAAAAAAGAUCCAGAUGGUUAAGUAUGAACACAUGUGACGUGGCUGAAUGUGCUUCUUCAUCACACUGAUUGAGAACUUGCUGUGAUAGUGUCAUUUAAUUAUCCUACAAGUGUUUUUAUUUGCUUAUAACCCUCUAAGUGGGGGUGGUAAUCUCUGUCGGCUCAGAGAGAGAACAGUCUGUCUCCUCAUAAGCAUAUUCUAGUCUCCCAAGAUCCAUCACUGUCUAUUGUUAUUAUUAGUUUUGGCAUAAAAAAAAACUCAUUUAGAAAUCAGCGUUGGAUAAUUAAAAAUCUAACUAAAUCCAUUCCCACGGGAAGAGGAGGGCAGCGGAUGUCUGAGGCUGUUGCCAGAGCAGACAGAGAGAUGAGUGAGCAGACUGGUUGUGUUUCAUUUUCUGUAACAAUAACAUCGAGAAAGAAAGAAAGAAAGAAAAGCAGGUGAUAUCUGGAUUCUGCUGCCCUGCUCUCUUUCAGCAUCUAUCAGUCAACUCGGGUCGAACACGUUGACGUGAGCGCCGGUGUUUUCUUAUUCAAAACCACGUUCUUACUCUGCACUCAUCUAAAUAAAAUAUAAGAAGUCACCGUCUCUGUUCCCUGGACUUAUUUUUACUAACUGUUCCUGAUGUCUGCCGUGAACUUUGAUAAAAAGGUGUUCAAGUUGGAAACGGCUGCAAAACUCUGAAUCAUCAGGAGCAGGUCGGACUUUUUUAAAGCAUCAGGGUGUAAAUGAGUGUUUUCGGAUCUUUUUCUGUGACCUUUCCUUGUUAUCUUUUAUUAUUUUGUUUUUUUUAUGUCUGAAGCAAAAUUUUGUCUCAGAUUUUUUUUUGUUUAAUCUCAUUGAAACCUCACCCCUGGUUAAAUAAAGAUAGAAAAAAAGGUUCAGUCCAUUUCUCAGUCAGUCUGUCUGAUCCGUCUGAUUUGCUGCCUGUUUGAACCAGCCUUUGGUGUGUUUGAUGUGUGUGUAUCAGCGCCCGGACAGUGAAGGGUACAGAUAGGCAGAUGCUUUCAAUACAAAGAGCCGGAGCUUGUAUAGGACACGAAAUGUCAUGUGACUGCGGACUUUCUGAAAGUUUAAAAAAGUGAUCCAUGCAGCUUAACUUUGAAAGUUCGGCAGAUUCGGUAAGUGAUUGAAAAAAAGACGAGAGGGGAGAAUCAUAAAGAAAUUAGUAAUUCAUGUCCUGCAAAGUUGCACAUGCUGAUACACAACCUUACCAUGAGGUGUGUGCAUAUGUGGGCAUCAGGUUUCAAUAACCAUGUUUACAUGUGCAAAAUUCUUUAUAUUUUAUCCUUUAUUAAAAAUUUGAGGGAUCAGAUAAUCUGAAUCCACUGUUUAUAUGGACGCAAAAUCAAAUUAUCAGAUCAAGACAUGAGUAUAAAUGUUGUCACUAGAUGGCCUCAAAGGUUGCACUGUGCGUGCAGGUGUGACAUCAUUACGCUGUUUGUAUGGCUUGUUAUGUUAUUGGAGGAGCAGAUAUGGCAACUGCAGUUGUGUUUUAUGCCAGAGUGUUAAUAAUGAAACUUCCUGAACUGACCUCAAUAAAUACGCCAAAGACUAAAGAUUGAAGAUCCAGUCAGAUAAGAGAGUCACGAUCGGAAUAAGGAUGCAUUUCGGAAUAACGAUCGGCAUAAACCACCCCUCCCGACUGAAAUACAAUUUCUUUCAGAUUGAGCCAAAUUGGAUCAGAAUCUUCCGAUCGACAUGUUUACAUGACGCAUUUUUAUUCCGAUCGGGCCUUAAUUCCGAUUAUUUUUAAAUAAGCAUAUGAGUGAACCUGCAUGGGUGCAUGUGCAGGUGUUAGUGGGGAUGCGGAUGUAGACGCUGCAUGCAUUAGUGCAGAAAUGCGUUUGGAUAUUUGUGUCAAUGGAAACUAGAACUAGAUCUAAAGAAGCUGCCAAAAUGAACACUGCUAGCAGGAUGGUGAAAACAGAUUUAAGACGCUGUCCUAUGUUAGAGACGUGACUCCACCCCAUCCAGUCUGUAACAAAGAGGGAAAGACAGGUGAGGAGAUGGAGGACGGUUCAAAAGUUGUAGCGGCUGAAGUAGACGAAGUUAAUGUGGGAGGGGGUGAGCAGUUUGUGGAGUAGUUAUCGUCCAUUUAUCGUUAUCGGGGUGAACUGAUCAAUAUAUCUUGAUAUAUACACGGUUGCAUAGAAACUUCACAUUGUGGAUCUUGUUAACAAACGUCUUUAAAUACACAUUUUGCAGUAAUCACAUCACAUUUCACUCAAGUACAAAUAUUCAUCAGAGUAUUUAAGUAUUGAAAAAAUAACAGGUUGCCUCUUAGACUUAUUUCUUACAGCUUUAAACCAAGGCUGUAAAUACCUGGGAGGCUUGGAUGUCCUUCAAGAGAGCUGUUAGAAGUUUUAAAAACCACCUCAUGCCUCUGUGUUUGUCCACAGUGAAGAUUUUUGGCACAAGCAGAAACAAACAGAAAGCCCCGAAGCUUCAUAAAGUUUCACAAAGGGUCCUGAUGGUGUACUUCGCUCCGACAUUAGACCCUCCGUCCAUCGCCCUCAGUUUCCCCUUAAAAUGAAAGAGCGAUCAUAUUUAUUUACACAUAUUUGCUUUUGCAGCUUGUCGUAAACUAUAUAACAGAUCUUAGAAAAGGGUUUGGCACAGGUACAGAGGGUUCGAACUGAUGUACGUACAUGAAUCGUGUAUUUCUGUAUCUGUACAUUCAUCUCAACUCUGACACUGCGGAUUUACUGUACCUCCUCUGAGCUGCUCUUAUCCUCUAAUCUGCCUUUGUUGGCCCUUUAUGAUAAACUCUUCACAAAUAUUUAUAGUUGCAUUGUGAAGUAACUGCACUGCAGAGCUUUUCCCGUCCAAGCAGGUGCUGUAUGUCUGUGUUUCAUUUUGAGUGAAAUCCGUUAUGGCCCUCUGCUUCAGAAGAAAAGAAUCCGGCCCAAACUGAUCCUCGGAGACGGCGGAGUUGUUGCAACCGCACACUUUGUUUCUAAAUAUCAUUCAGGUUUGUCAGCCUGUCCAAACAUUAAUCCUCUGGAGGAACAGGCUCAUGAAAAAUGUAAGUUGUUUCCCUGUCUGGGCCUAUUAAAUCUCCUAUUAAGCUCUCAAAGACAGUCGAUACUCAGCGUCUACACCUUUUGAUUCACUUUAGAGCUCAAGUUGCACAUUUCACGUCUUUCAGUCAUUGGGUUUUGUUGCUCAGCACAGACAGCAACACUAAGCUCUCUGACACACAGCUUUCAGGUUUAUAAAUAUCCCACAGGACUCUGGUGUGGUCUGUAAUUUACAAACUAUCACCAGCCGCUGACAUGAAACCUUUAAUUUGACGUUUUGAUUGUCCUUUUGAAAUAUGAGCCAGAUGAAGAGGAGAGAGGGAACCAUGUAGGAAUAUCAUGUCACUUAUCAGCAGAGUUUCCAGGAAAGCCUUUUUUUUUGUUUAGUUUGUUUGUGUUUCAUCUUCCUCCAGUAUUGAUUAUUUCUCUGAACGUUAAAUAUUUAUUAUAGAUUCAAAGGUAACAUCUGAAAUGAGCUCAUUACCACAGAAAAAAAGAUCAAAUACUCUCAACUACCACAGAUCCACACCUGAAUUAAAGCUCCUAUGAGUGACUCAUUAUGAAACCAACAGUAACGCCUCAUUAUAACCCACAAAAAAACCCCAUCAAUGUUAGAGUUCAAGCACAUGACAAGAUCAGCAAAGGUGCAAGAGGUACAGCUUCGUCCACAGGGGGCGCUAGAGUAGGUUUUCUUUGCCUAUUUGGCUUUUAGUCACACUCAAAAAAAAAAAAAAAUUCUAGGUCUCUAAUGUUUUUUUUUUACACUGUUUUUUUUUUUUUUGCAUAUUUGUGGAAGUUAAAAUGUUAUUAAUUCGACUUACCCCAGUCGAUUAUAGAGCCUAUAUCCCUCAUAUGCUUGUAUACAAACUUCUACUAUUAGCUGUUAGCACUUGCUCAAGAAAUACACAUGCACAAUAUCUUGUUUUGCAAAAGCAUCCAUGGAUUUCAGAAACACUUCGGCUGUGGAAAACGAUAACUGGAACACUUACUCGACAUCAUACAUAAGGAAUCGACUGUUAGCUAGCAGCUGCCUGCAAGUUGCAGCUAAAGUUAGCCUAGUUUACCUUCAAUACGAAGCUAACUAACGCUAUUAAUGCAGGUUGUUAAGACAGUCCUUCUCUUUUUUUCUCUCUAAUCACCCUAAUUUUUAUUCAACUGAUGUUAUAAAACAGCGCCAUGGUUAGCGUAAGUAGCAGUUUGUGGACUGCAGCUGCUAUCCCUCAACUUACAUUCAUUCUUGUUUUUGGCCUUUAGUCACACACAAAAAAAUAAGUUCUGGGUCUCUGGGUUUAAUUUGCGUAUUUGUGGGAGUUAAAAUCUGAAGUCUAGGAAAAACAUCGUAGGAGCCAUUUUUCUCUGUGAUUUGUGUAUAUUACCUAAUUGGGCCAGCAGGUGUCCUCAGAGUCCUGUCAGGUGUUGCUAGACGGAGGAACACACAGUUUUUGGACCACUAGGGGCUACGUCACUGUGGAUGUUGUUUUUGGUGAUACAGUCAUGACUGCAAACGGAAUGGAAAACAAGUCAAAUGUUGAGCGAUAAAGACCGCGGCAAAGGAAAAGGCAACACGGAGUCAUAUUUCACAACUCACAAUAAUCAAGUGCGGUCGCCAGCGCGUCAAUUACUUUUAGCCCUUACUAGGCAGGCCCUCAGUGGCUUUAAGUUUUAGGCUUAGCUGCUACAAACAUUGUUAAACCAAUUUACCCCCGGCAAUGGUUUCUAUAUCCCAUAUCCCCUUUUAGCUUGGUAUACAAAUUCUACUGUUGGCUGUUAUCGCUUGCUCAAGAACACACGUAAAACACCUUCUUCAGUGGUUUACUGAUGUUUUUUUAUUCAGCCUAGCCUGCCCACUUCUACAUGAAUAAAUAAUGUGUGCCACCAGUGUCGGGCGUGUGCAGGACGAGGAGCCUUGAAGACGUAUCAAACUUGCACUGAGAGAUCUGGUGUUACAGUGUCUAAUACAAACAGCAGCACAGUUAAUGAAUAUAUAAUCUAUGUUGAUAUGACAGCUCGCAUGUAUGGAGUUACGUAACAGAUGGUGAUGAACGCUCGAUAACUGGGAGACGGCGGCGUAUCCUCGCAGACGUUUCCUGGGGGAGAAAUCGAAGACCAGAACAUGGGUCUAUUUUCCCCCGCUGUAUGCACAAAUCUCAUCACCCACAGACUGAGACAUUAUCCUUCAAUAGUGUGACUCGUGCCAGAUAUCUUCACCGCAGCACAACUUAAUCCGGGACUCAUUGAAGGUGCCUGAUAAAACACAGUCUUCCAGCUCCCUUGUCAAAUAACUUCACUUGGUCUUUAGUUAAUAUAGAGAUCCAAUCAAUCAAAGCUGGAUUUUAAUGGAUUCUGCCGCUCCUUUCUGAUGGGGAUUAAUUUUCUCCAAUACCUCUGGAAACUCGCAGAUAUGAGGAAAUUAUGCUUUUUAUCAUUAGAAAUUAAUGAUUUUGCAAAAUAUAUUGGAUCAUGACUUACGCUUGUCAAAUUUUGUUAGGAAGAGUAUAAAGUGACGGUGGAGGUGUAUCCAUAUAUAUAUUUAUAAAUCUUUUCUUGUGUGGUUUAAUUUCGUACCUGCCACAGGUCAUAGAGGUGUGUUUGACAAUAUGAAGUGAACACACUCCCGUCUCAGUUUGUUUUCAUCCACUAAGUCAACAAGUAGAGCCAAUAUGUCAGUUCACAGACGGAGUAAACGUGGGUGUUUAUUGAUGGAUCAGCGAACGAGCUAACAGCCUCGUCUGCUUCUAUUUCAAUCUGCUUCAAACCUUUCUGAUAAAUCGUGACGCAGAGCUGUCACAGCGUCAGACUUUGGGAUAUUAUCAGAGUAUUUAUGAGGAGCUUGAAAAUAAACUAACUUCGCUGGUGUUUUAGGUGACAGAGGGGGAAUUAUUUUAGAUGUCCGACGUCACGCCUGAAUCAAUUUUGUCCCGUCAGUGAAAACAAAGCAGUUAUUCAUCAGAGGUUUUGUUCACAGUGAUGUAUUUUAGCUCAUCACUGUCUCGUCUUAGUCGUGAAAAAAAGGGUUUCUGAUGAAUAUUUAUCCUCAUAAUUUUAAUUUUCUAAGUUAAUACUGUGCAGUGGCGCUCUGAGAGGUGAUGACUGUGAAAACUGAUGCUUAAGAGUAAACGGUCAAGUUUCAACAAUUAAACUUUCAGACUGUUACGAUCUACUUCAAGUAACAUUUCAGAAUAAAAGUAGUUUACAGAUUAUAUAGUCUCUAGAGUUAUUCUGUAUCACAUGUCUUAAAGGUGGGGUAGUCAGGAUCUGAGGAAGUUCCAGUUUUUGGGAGAAAUCUUGAAUGUAAACUCGACCCCUCCCAACCAGUUUUCCCCUCAGCUCCUCCCCUCAAGCCCCGCCCACAAACAGACGCUCCUGCUCGCUCGUAUCGUUCCAAUUAAAUUCAGAUAUAAUGCAGAUAAAUACUUCAGAUCAUUACAAAUGGGGCCCAGUCAAGGUGAAAGUCAAAAGCAUUGGUGUUACUGUAGAUGCCAACAGACUACCAGCAAACACAAUGUUUGCAGGACUUCUACAACUAGGAUAAAGUGACAUAGUCCAGGACCCGAGGGAGACAGUUUAGCGAUGGCGCUACAACACGCCACGCUUGACAAGAAACACUUCUGUUACAGACACUUGUCUUACUUUGUUAAAGCGGUUUACCUGUCCAGCAGAAAGGUUACAGGGUCACCAAGAUCCCCAAGCGUCCCCCAUCGUUUAUGUUGACCCGGCUUUUUAGCUCUUGUCCGGUCUACCUCCGUUUUAAGCGCCCGUUAUUCCUCCAGAGUCUCCGGUAUUUACUUUGUUUUCUUGCUU
rnacentral:lncRNA from 1 species